CUGGAAAUGAUGCAGUUGAUGUUCCCUGAUGCACGCUGAAGGUGACCGUAUUCAUACUGUCUGAUCCAG